rnacentral:RNase_P_RNA from 1 species
AUGGUAGAACGUGUUAUCGCUUUUCUCCGUAUGGAGAAGGGAGGAAAGUCCGGACAGGACAGGGCGCUGCACUGCUGAAAAGUAGAUGUUUGUAAGAGUAUGGCGAUGUAACAGAAAAGAACCGCCCGAAUUAUUCGGGUAAGGGUGAAAAGGUGAGGUAAGAGCUUACCGCGUUUUGUGGCGACACAAACGGACAGUACAUCCUGCAGCCUGCAAGACCAUGUAAACCGGCGCUAUCAGAGUUGCCCGCUCGAUGCCGGAGGGUAGGUCGCAAUUUCUGUGUAACAGCAGAAUAAAGAUAAAUGAUAACGCUUCCGCAAGGAAGACAGAAUCCGGCUUACAGUUCUGCCAUUUGC